rnacentral:tRNA from 1 species
AGAAAAUUAGUUAAAAAUAUAUAACAUUAAUAUGUCAUAUUAAAAUUAUUAAAAUAUAAUACUUUCUA